rfam:Thermoplasmatales archaeon A-plasma AMDT1_APLC00005, whole genome shotgun sequence.
GGGGCUGUAGCUUAGCUAGGUAGAGCGCCUGGCUCAUAACCAGGUGGUCAUCGGUUCAAACCCGGUCAGCCCCA